rnacentral:rRNA from 1 species
GCAUCAUGGAUUUAGCCAGUACCCCCCAAGCAAAGAGUACUUUAGUUUGGUCCCCCGAAACUACGUGAGCUACUCCAAGACAGCCUAUCAUAGGGCAAACCCGUCUCUGUGGCAAAAGAGUGGGAAGAGCUUUGAGUAGAGGUGACAGACCUACCGAACCUAGUUAUAGCUGGUUGCCUAAGAAAUGGAUAUGAGUUCAGCCUCUAAGCUUCUCCCCUCACCCCGGCCAAACCCACACCGACCCCUAAAGAAGCUAAGAGAGUUAAUCUAAGGGGGUACAGCCCCUUAGAUAAAAGACACAACUUUUCCAGGCGGGUAAAGAUCAUAAUUUGUAAGGACAUUAAUACCCCAGUGGGCCUAAAAGCAGCCACCUGAGUAGAAAGCGUUAAAGCUCAAGUAUUCACCCGCCCCAUAUAUUUCGAUAAUAAUUCUUAACCCCCUAAUACUAUUAGGCCUUCUCAUGCAAACAUGAGAGUGCCCAUGCUAAUAUGAG